UACGUAGGGUGCGAGCGUUAAUCGGAAUUACUGGGCGUAAAGCGUGCGCAGGCGGUCUGUUAAGACAGAUGUGAAAUCCCCGGGCUUAACCUGGGAACUGCAUUUGUGACUGGCAGGCUAGAGUAUGGCAGAGGGGGGGUAGAAUUCCACGUGUAGCAGUGAAAUGCGUAGAGAUGUGGAGGAAUACCGAUGGCGAAGGCAGCCCCCUGGGCCCAAUACUGACGCUCAUGCACGAAAGCGUGGGGAGCAAACAGGAUUAGAGUACCCUAAG
rnacentral:rRNA from 1 species